AUAUAAACUCUAAGAGAAAUCAGUUAGUUAACGAAGUGAAUUGAAAUAUCUUNAGUAAC
rnacentral:rRNA from 1 species